rnacentral:rRNA from 1 species
GGGGGGAAUCUUCCGCAAUGGGCGAAAGCCUGACGGAGCAACGCCGCGUGAGUGAAGAAGGCCUUCGGGUUGUAAAGCUCUGUCUUUGGGGACGAAGAAAGUGACGGUACCCAAGGAGGAAGCCACGGCUAACUACGUGCCAGCAGCCGCGGUAAUACGUAGGUGGCAAGCGUUGUCCGGAAUCAUUGGGCGUAAAGGGCGCGUAGGCGGGUAAUUAAGUCAGAUGUGAAAUAUGCGGGCUCAACCCGGAUAUGCAACUGAAACUGGAUACCUUGAGUGCAGGAGAGGACAGUGGAAUUCCUAGUGUAGCGGUGAAAUGCGUAGAUAUUAGGAGGAACACCGAGUGGCGAAGGCGGCUGGUCUGGACUGUAACUGACGCUGAGGCGCGAAAGCGUGGGG